AAGGCUGAGACACGACGUCGAGCUACUACGGUAGUGAAGUCAUUGAUGCCAUGCUUCCAGGAAAAGCCUCUAAGCUUCAGAUUGUAAGGAAUCGUACCCCAAACCGACACAGGUGGUCGGGUAGAGAAUACCAAGGCGCUUGAGAGAACUCGGGUGAAGGAACUAGGCAAAAUGGUACCGUAACUUCGGGAGAAGGUACGCUCUUGAUGGUGAAGUCCCUUGCGGAUGGAGCUGACGAGAGUCGCAGAUACCAGGUGGCUGCAACUGUUUAUUAAAAACACAGCACUGUGCAAAAUCGUAAGAUGACGUAUACGGUGUGACGCCUGCCCGGUGCCGGAAGGUUAAUUGAUGGGGUUAGCGUAAGCGAAGCUCUUGAUCGAAGCCCCGGUAAACGGCGGCCGUAACUAUAACGGUCCUAAGGUAGCGAAAUUCCUUGUCGGGUAAGUUCCGACCUGCACGAAUGGCGUAAUGAUGGCCACGCUGUCUCCACCCGAGACUCAGUGAAAUUGAAAUCGCUGUGAAGAUGCAGUGUACCCGCGGCUAGACGGAAAGACCCCGUGAACCUUUACUACAGCUUGGCACUGAACAUUGAACCUACAUGUGUAGGAUAGGUGGGAGGCUUUGAAGACGUGACGCCAGUUGCGUUGGAGCCGUCCUUGAAAUACCACCCUUGUAUGUUUGAUGUUCUAACGUUGGCCCCUAAUCGGGGUUGCGGACAGUGCCUGGUGGGUAGUUUGACUGGGGCGGUCUCCUCCCAAAGAGUAACGGAGGAGCACGAAGGUGGGCUAAUCACGGUUGGACAUCGUGAGGUUAGUGCAAUGGCAUAAGCCCGCUUAACUGCGAGAAUGACGGUUCGAGCAGGUGCGAAAGCAGGUCAUAGUGAUCCGGUGGUUCUGAAUGGAAGGGCCAUCGCUCAACGGAUAAAAGGUACUCCGGGGAUAACAGGCUGAUACCGCCCAAGAGUUCAUAUCGACGGCGGUGUUUGGCACCUCGAUGUCGGCUCAUCACAUCCUGGGGCUGAAGUCGGUCCCAAGGGUAUGGCUGUUCGCCAUUUAAAGUGGUACGCGAGCUGGGUUUAGAACGUCGUGAGACAGUUCGGUCCCUAUCUGCCGUGGGCGUUGGAAGAUUGAAGGGGGCUGCUCCUAGUACGAGAGGACCGGAGUGGACGAACCUCUGGUGUUCGGGUUGUGUCGCCAGACGCAUUGCCCGGUAGCUAAGUUCGGAAUCGAUAACCGCUGAAAGCAUCUAAGCGGGAAGCGAGCCCUGAGAUGAGUCUUCCCUGAUACUUUAAGUAUCCUGAAGGGUUGUUCGAGACUAGAACGUUGAUAGGCAGGGUGUGUAAGCGCUGUGAGGCGUUGAGCUAACCUGUACUAAUUGCCCGUGAGGCUUAACCAUACAACACCCAAAGGGUUUUG
rnacentral:rRNA from 1 species